CCGAGACGCAUGCGCAGGGCGCGGUCUGGCGUGCCACCUUCGCGGUUAGGUUGAUCCGUCUCCCCCGGAGGGUGUUGGACUGGUGACAUUGGGGCGGCCUUGGCCGGCUUUCCCCACUGUAAGCUGCGGGAAUCUCGGCGAGGAGCCAGCGUCACAUUGGACGUUCAUAGGAGGGAAACCAUGUUAUCAUCCGGAGGAGCGAAAGACCCGUGAUAAAAAUUGCCAGGCUUCUUGCAGUGCCAGUCCCCAAGGCUCCGUUUCAGCCGAUGCGGGAAAGGUUUCCAGGAGGCGACCUUAAUCUUAAAUUCACAUCACUGGAGUAGCAUCAAGCAUUCUUUGCUCGCCCCCCAAAACAAACAUUUUCCCACUCACCAGAUUGCGAAAAAAUCCAAACGAGCAGCCACAAGCAAAGACACUGGAAACACAUAUGGCUGCUAGGCUGCUUCUCUGGACAUCCAGAAGAAAGAGGUCCCCUAGUGAAACUUCAGAGCUUUCCUUCACGUUUGCAUUAUACCUUUUAGGGAAGUAAUAACUAAUCAAUACAAAAAGGUAAGAAUAGUAUGUAAGUUUUUUUCAGCGUUUACCACAUUUUAUCAGUAAUAGGAAUGUGGCCAGAGAUGCUUCCAAUUAGUUUAUGAAUUUCUAAUCAUAAUGCCAGCACAUAUCAACCUUUAUGUGGAUUCUACCAUUAACUUUUGCUGACUAACUCAUCCUCUGUUAUGUUAAAGAUAGGUGAUUGCAAAGCGAGAGACAGAGUUUACUUUCAAUUGUGAAAUCAGGUCGACACUUUAAUCAAAACUCAAUACAUUUAGCACACACAUAUCGAAAAGGUUCAGACAUGCAAACUGAUUUGAACACCCUUACAGUCCUAUGGAGAAAGUACAGUACAGACAAGUUGGAUCUUUACAUUAACCAACCAAAUCUUAGCAAUUGCAUUUUAAUGUUUUAGCUCACAAGAGCUGAAGGGGGAAGCCUGCAAAAAUCACAGAUGAAAAAUCCCUCCUACAGUCAUGAUAUUUGUCCCUUGUUAUUCAAGUAAAACCUUGCAUCAUCCAGUUGCACAAUCUUAUUAUUGGUAACAUGUAUACAGGUAUAAAAGUACACUGUAAGUCUAAAAACAAAUUGUACCCAGUCAGGCCUGACAAAAUUUCAUGGACAUUUCUAAUCAUUUCACGUAUACGAGUAAGUCAUGUCAUUAUUUUCUACUUCUAUCCAUUUGGCAUGUUUUAGGAAAGAGUUCAUACUUAAAAACACAAAA